UUUCAGUAACCUACUUUCUCACAUUAGAAAUAGAUUCAGACAAGCUGUUAAUUUGUAAACUUCUUUACUUUGUUGCAUAUAAAAGGUCCAUCAUUUGUUUUGGAGGGUGGUAAUUUUCUACACCUAAGUCCACAUCAUCUAUUUUUAUCUCAUGCGGAAACACUGCACCUUUUGUGCCCUCUCUCGAACAUAAUUGACUGAAGCUUUGGUAUAGCGUUUUACUUACAGUAUUUCUACUUUCCUUGUUUGCUUACAAGCUGUUUUUUCUUUUUGACUCUGAUGAAUCCCCCAGGCCAUUUUUAAGAACCCGUUCAGGAGGGGUGACAACCUCCUUGUUAUGUGCGACUGCUACACACCACAAGGUGUUCCAAUCCCCACCAACAAGAGGCACAAUGCUGCCAAGAUCUUCAACACCUCGAAGGUUGCAGCUGAGGAGAGAUGGUAUGGAAUUGAGCAGGAGUACACUCUCCUCCAGAAGGAUGUGAACUGGCCCCUUGGCUGGCCCGUUGGUGGCUACCCUGGUCCUCAGGCAAG